rnacentral:rRNA from 1 species
ACUCCUACGGGAGGCAGCAGUGGGGAAUAUUGCACAAUGGGCGCAAGCCUGAUGCAGCGACGCCGCGUGAGGGAUGACGGCCUUCGGGUUGUAAACCUCUUUCAGCACGGACGAAGCGCAAGUGACGGUAUGUGCAGAAGAAGGACCGGCCAACUACGUGCCAGCAGCCGCGGUAAUACGUAGGGUCCGAGCGUUGUCCGGAAUUACUGGGCGUAAAGAGCUCGUAGGUGGUUUGUCGCGUUGUUCGUGAAAACUCACAACUCAAUUGUGGGCGUGCGGGCGAUACGGGCAGACUUGAGUACUGCAGGGGAGACUGGAAUUCCUGGUGUAGCGGUGGAAUGCGCAGAUAUCAGGAGGAACACCGGUGGCGAAGGCGGGUCUCUGGGCAGUAACUGACGCUGAGGAGCGAAAGCGUGGGGAGCGAACAGGAUUAGAUACCCUGGUAGUCCACGCCGUAAACGGUGGGUACUAGGUGUGGGUUUCCUUCCUUGGGAUCCGUGCCGUAGCUAACGCAUUAAGUACCCCGCCUGGGGAGUACGGCCGCAAGGCUAAAACUCAAAGAAAUUGACGGGGGCCCGCACAAGCGGCGGAGCAUGUGGAUUAAUUCGAUGCAACGCGAAGAACCUUACCUGGGUUUGACAUGCACAGGACGCUGGUAGAGAUAUCAGUUCCCUUGUGGCCUGUGUGCAGGUGGUGCAUGGCUGUCGUCAGCUCGUGUCGUGAGAUGUUGGGUUAAGUCCCGCAACGAGCGCAACCCUUGUCCUAUGUUGCCAGCGGGUUAUGCCGGGGACUCGUAGGAGACUGCCGGGGUCAACUCGGA